UAAGUGGAAGAUAUGUCAUAUCAUAAGCCUUAAAAAAAGCCAUCGAUGCAGGUCAGACAAGGUGGUAAGGUAGAAGGAAGUCAUACAGUCCUGCCAAUCCCCUUUCUCCCACAGAAUUAUAAGAAGAAUGUUAUGAAGAUGGAGGAAUAACUAGGGAGCAAUGCCGUUUUACCAUGAAAAUCCUCCCUGACCAAGAGUAAUAUAUCACCACAAAACAAAUACAGGAGUGAAGGAAUCAACAAAGAGACAGAGUGAAACAACCCUCAAAAGAGGAGAAACCCAAAAGGGAGGAUGAUCAUAGGAGUUCCUUGAAACUUCAUGAGCAUAAAUGGAGACCCCUGCAAGCAGAGAAUUAUUGCAGAUCUAUCAGUGCUCCCAGACUGCCAGUUGGUAGUCUGUUACAUGACAGGAUGUCCCAGUACAGCUCAGGUGAAACCAGAUCUGGCCCAACCUUGCUCCUGCAACACAGAAUUCUACCUAGGUAAGGAACCAACAAUAAACUAGACUCUAUAUUUGAAAAAUUAAGUGGAUUCCUGAAUUUCAUUUAGU
rnacentral:lncRNA from 1 species